GCAUAUGAAUAGCAAAACGGAUUUCGAGCAUAUCUGCAGCGCUAUUUUGUAUUGCUCCCCAUUGCAGGUUUGCAACGCGGAACUUCGCAUUCUUGUUGUGGACCCCCGGUUCCCUGGUUCGUGCCAUGACUCUUGGGUGUGGCAGCGUAACCCACUGCGUGCACGCCUAGCCGCACAACUGCAGCCUGGCGAGUAUCUGCUUGGAGACUCAGGAUAUCCUCUCGAGCCAUGGCUGCUUGUUCCAGUACCUGGCAGCCAUGCCGGCACCACCUCUGAAGGCCACUACAACCAGGAGCACGCAUCCAUGCGCAAUGUUGUGGAGAGAUGUAUCGGGGUGUUGAAAAGCAAGUUCCGCUGCCUGCAGCGCUUUCGGACACUGCUAUACAGCCCCGAUAGAGCAGCGCGAAUCAUUUAUGCAUGCGUUGCCCUCCAUAACAUUGCCUUGGAGGCGGGCGACUGGACAUUGGACGAUUAUGGUGGGGAAGUGCCGCCAGCUGAGGAGCCAGAGGAGCCAGGAGACAUCCAGGUGCUGGCACCACACGACGUGUUCCUCAGAGGAAGGCAGCAGCGCAGCGCCGUUGUCAACCUUUUCUGAAGGACACAGGAAUGGUGCUCAGCGAUGUCCUGCGCUAUGGCGCGCACCUGUUCCAGGAUCCCCUCCUGGGCUGCUGCCGUCCGUUCUGCCGCGACAGCGAGGCGGGUUGUGGAAGCCUCGAUUCUGCGCAGCACCUGGAAUGAAUAAUCAUGGUGGAACUGUUCGCAUCAGUUGCUGAUUACUCGCAACCAGCUCACGGCUGCAAGCUGCUGUUGUGAAGAAUUGCAACGUGCACAACGAUUCCCUCUCUGCUGAAGAGCCACUGGCCUGAUGGAAUUCUUUGGCAGUGUCAAGCGUCGCGUACAAGCUGUACCCUCCUCGUUUGGCCAGACAAACACCUGCUGGAACUACUCUUCCGUCAUCUAUUCUAAUGCAUCUCUCACCACCAAACAGCCCUUUUCAGGGCUAACCAACCUUUCGUCCGGCGGCUGAUCGUUGGCAAGAUACGUUACCGAGCCCUCUAUACAACGCAUAUUUCUUGUUUACAUCCCAAGCUGAUUUGUUUUUCAGAUUCAUGAUUUACUUAUAACAAAGCACACAGAAUAUUUAUGUCCUUCAUGUAAAAUGACACCAAAGGGCCUACAAACCUGCAGCACCUCGUCGCCCUGUUCCAGGCUGCGGGCGCACUGCGACGACAUCGUAGUCAGGGUAUCCACCCGUCGCGGUCGCUGUCGACGUGGUGGCCGAACAGGGUGCUGCAACACUGAAAGCAUACAGCAUUUUCUACAGUUGCACGGCAUUUUAUGGUACGAAUAAAAGUGGCUAUGGCCAUGUUAUGGCUUAUUGGGCUAGUUCAAUAAAAUACAAGAGCUCAUUUUAUUUAACAGCUUGAGGAUCAAUAACUUACCAGGUGCAGCGGCCACCCUUUCGGCAGGCGCCGCGCCGCGCGGUGGAUCCUCUGCCGCUGUAGAGUAAACACAUUAAUGUUUACGAACUGCACACACACUUGGCGAUAAUUAAAACACUCAUUCCUCUGA